rnacentral:rRNA from 1 species
AUGAAUAUCAAGUUGUGUGAGCCAAUUACAGAUUAUGAAAUUGAGCAGGCCUUAUUCAUGAUGCAUCCGGACAGAUCUUCGGGGCCGGAUGGUUUCACAGCUGGUUUUUAUAUUCAUCACUGGAAUUUAUUGAAAGGUACGGUUUGUUCAGCGGUAAGGAAUUUUCUGGAGGGAGGUACUAUGCCUGAUAUUGUUAACUCGACUGUCUUAGUUCUCAUACCGAAAGGUAAGAAUCCGCAGGAAUUUUCUCAGUACCGUCCAAUCUCUCUGUGCAAUGUGCCUUACAAAAUUGCCUCGAAAGUACUAGCUCUAAGAUUGAGACCUUUUCUUGAGGGGUUAAUCUCGGAAGAACAAAGCGCGUUCGUUCCCGGCCGUCUCAUUACGGACAAUGUGUUACUAGCCUAUGAAUGCAUCCAUUAUUUGAAGAGGAAAAGAGGAAAAGCUGCUGCAUGUGCGGUAAAGUUGGACAUGGCGAAAGCCUAUGAUCGUGUGGAGUGGUCAUAUUUGAGAGCAAUUAUGGGUAAGUUGGGUUUUGCUGUACAAUGGAUCGAUAGAGUUAUGGCCUAUGUGGAGACUGUUUCUUUCUCUGUUAGAGUUAAUGGCAACUAUUCUGAAGUUUUCAAGCCAACAAAGGGUAUCAGACAAGGCGAUCCUAUUUCGCCAUAUUUAUUCCUUCUCUGUGCUGAAGGCUUUUCUUGUAUGUUAAAGAAUUAUGGUGUAGGACAUUUAUCAAAGGGGGUGAGAGUUGGUAUCCAUUGCUCUUGGAUAUCUCACUUGUUGUUUGCUGAUGACUGUUUGGUAUUUACACAAGCAACAACGGAGGGUGCUCACAGAUUGCAAGAUGUGUUGGAACAAUAUCGUAUGGGUUCCGGGCAAAUGGUGAAUAAAAACAAAUCGGCUAUAUUUUUCAGCGGCAAUGCAGACGAGGCUAUGAAAACGGCAGUUCAUCAAAAUACGGAGAUUCCGACGGAAGCCUUGGUGGAAAGAUAUUUGGGACUUCCUACGGCUGUGGGAAGAUCCUCUGAUCAGCACUUUGAUCAUAUUGUGGCUACUAUUAAGAAACUUGUUACAAGUUGGGCGCCAAAAUUACUAAACAGUGCAGGCCGUGAGGUAUUGAUUAAAUCAAUUUGCCAAGCUAUUCCGACAUAUUCCAUGAGCUGUUUCAAGCUUUCUAAGAAGUUGUGUAAAAAGGUAAUAGCAGCAAUUGCCCGGUUCUGGUGGGGGGGAGAUGAGACCAAAAGGAAGAUGCAUUGGGUCAAAUGGAAGGAUCUCACCAUACCCAAAGUAUGCGGUGGCAUGGGUUUCAAAGACUUCGUCCUCUUCAAUAAAGCUAUGCUAGCGAAGCAAGGGUGGCGUUUGAUUUGUUACCCGGAGACGUUGUGUGCACGGGUGUUGAAAGGAAAAUAUUUUAAUGAUGGCAAUUUUAUGACUGUAGGGUGUAAGAGAAAUUCCUCACAAACAUGGAGGGCAAACAUUUCUGGCAGGGAAGCCUUGGAGUUGGGCCUCAUUCGACGCAUUGGCGAUGGAUCAUCAACAAGAAUUUGGGAGGACCCAUGGAUCCCUACUAAUCCUGGGCUAAAGCCUAUUGUUAAGUUGCAAUCAUCAGGAAUAAAUUUGGUGGAAGAAUUAUUAAACCCGGACUCGGGUGAGUGGAAUGAGGAGUUCGUGAAAGCAAAGUUUAUGCCAGUUGAUGCUCGGGCUAUUUUGCAAAUUCCGACUGCCCGAUUGGCAGAAGAUGGAUGGGCAUGGCAUUUGGAGAGAAAUGGCAAUUUUUCAGUACGGUCAGCCUACCGAGCUCUUCUGGAAAUGAAUCACUCUAUCAGUUUAGCAUCCAGAUCGAAUGGCGACAAACAAUUGUUUUGGAAAAAGCGGAAAAUGCGAGUACCACCAAAAGUACGUAACUUCUGGUGGAGGGUCAUUAAAAAAUUUAUACCUUGUCGAGCGAUUCUCCAUGAGAGGCAUAUGGAUUGUAUCUCAUUCUGUCAAACAUGUGGUAGAGAGGAGACCAUCAAACAUGCCUUGUUCGACUGUACAUGGGCCAAAUUGUUCUGGCAGGAGUUGAAGAAUCUCACUUCAGUCAAGGUGCCGGAGCUUCACCCAGAUUUUUGGACUGUAGAUCUGAUUGAUAGCAGCAAAGUUUCUUCUGAAGAUGCGGCUGUUAUAUUAUGUGGUGGAUGGGCUGUAGGAUCUGAGCGGAAUGCUCGACACCAUGAAAAGAGAGUAGGAUCCGUGUCUAAAUCUGUGAAGUGGACUGCUGAUAUUGCCUAUGAUCUUACACUAACAGGACAGGCUUCAGGGAAGCAACACCAUAAGGAGCGGCCAAGGUGGAAACCUCCAGCUUCUGGCAUUAUUAAGCUCAAUGUGGAUGCUAGCUUCUCGCCAAACAAUAAUGAGGGAGCUACAGGUGUGAUUGUUCGUGAUCAUUGUGGUGCCUUACUACGGGGCCAAGCCAUCUGGUAUGGUCAGACGGCCAAUGUUUUAAUUAUGGAGGCCCUUGCCGUACGUGAUGGUGUGAGACUCGCCUGUGAUAUUGGUCUAUCAAAGGUUAUCGUUGAGUCUGAUGCCUAG